GACGAACGCUGGCGGCGUGCUUAACACAUGCAAGUCGAACGGAAAGGCCCUGCUUUUGUGGGGUGCUCGAGUGGCGAACGGGUGAGUAACACGUGAGUAACCUGCCCUUGACUUUGGGAUAACUUCAGGAAACUGGGGCUAAUACCGGAUAGGAGCUCCUGCUGCAUGGUGGGGGUUGGAAAGUUUCGGCGGUUGGGGAUGGACUCGCGGCUUAUCAGCUUGUUGGUGGGGUAGUGGCUUACCAAGGCUUUGACGGGUAGCCGGCCUGGGAGGGUGACCGGCCACAUUGGGACUGAGGUACGGCCCAGACUCCUACGGGAGGCAGCAGUGGGGAAUAUUGCACAAUGGGCGGAAGCCUGAUGCAGCAACGCCGCGUGCGGGAUGACGGCCUUCGGGUUGUAAACCGCUUUCGCCUGUGACGAAGCGUGAGUGACGGUAAUGGGUAAAGAAGCACCGGCUAACUACGU
rnacentral:rRNA from 1 species